AGCAACAGCUAGCUUACUACCCAAUAACCAAACAAUAUAAAUAAAACAAAAUAAGCCCAACACCAAAACUUAAACCAUUCUUUUACCUUAGUAUGGGAGACAGAAAAGGUCCCACAAAGCAAUAGAAAUAGUACCGCAAGGGAAAGCUGAAAGAGAAAUGAAACAACCCAUAUAAGCAUUAAAAAGCAAAGACUUAACCUUGUACCUUUUGCAUCAUGAUUUAGCCAGUACACCCAAGCAAAGAGACCUUUAGUUUGAAACCCCGAAACCAGGUGAGCUACCCCGAGACAGCCUAUUAUAGGGCUAACCCGUCUCUGUGGCAAAAGAGUGGGAAGAGCUCCGGGUAGAAGUGACAGACCUACCGAACCUGGUGAUAGCUGGUUGCCUAAGAAAUGGAUAGAAGUUCAGCCUCGUUACACCUCAAAUCAAACGAAUGUAAACAAGACACUAAGAGAAAUACACGAGAGUUAGUUAAAGGGGGUACAGCCCCUUUAACAAAGGACACAACCUUCUCAGGAGGAUAAAGAUCACAAUACACAAAACAUACUGUUCUAGUGGGCCUAAAAGCAGCCAUCUAAACAGAAAGCGUUAAAGCUCAGACAGACAAAAGUUUAUUAUUCUGAUAAAAAAUCUUACUCCCCUAAACACUAUUAGGCCAGCCCAUGCCCCCAUGGAAGAGAUUAUGCUAAAAUGAGUAACAAGAAGGCCCGCCCUUCUCCAAGCACAAGUGUAAGCCAAACCGGACCAACCAUUGGCAACUAACGAACUCAAUCCAAGAGAGUAAUGUGAGUUACAAAAAAAUCAAGAAAAGCCCACAAUUAAACCAUCGUUACCCCCACACUGGAGUGCAUCUAAAGGAAAGACUAAAAGAAAAGGAAGGAACUCGGCAAACACAAGCCUCGCCUGUUUACCAAAAACAUCGCCUCCUGCAACACAACCAAGUAUAGGAGGUCCAGCCUGCCCAGUGACUACAAGUUUAACGGCCGCGGUAUUUUGACCGUGCAAAGGUAGCGCAAUCACUUGUCUUUUAAAUAGAGACCUGUAUGAAUGGCUAAACGAGGGCUU
rnacentral:rRNA from 1 species